UGGGGAAUAUUGGACAAUGGGGGAAACCCUGAUCCAGCAAUGCCGCGUGAGUGAAGAAGGCCUUAGGGUUGUAAAGCUCUUUCAGUAGGGAAGAUAAUGACGGUACCUACAGAAGUAGCCCCGGCUAACUCCGUGCCAGCAGCCGCGGUAAGACGGAGGGGGCUAGCGUUGUUCGGAAUUACUGGGCGUAAAGGGCGCGUAGGCGGCAAAUCAAGUUAGGCGUGAAAUCCCUGGGCUUAACCCAGGAACUGCGUUUAAUACUGAUUAGCUAGAGAUUGGUAGAGGAAAGUGGAAUUCCUAGUGUAGAGGUGAAAUUCGUAGAUAUUAGGAAGAACACCAGAGGCGAAGGCGGCUUUCUGGGCCAAUACUGACGCUGAGGCGCGAAAGCGUGGGGAGCAAACAG
rnacentral:rRNA from 1 species